rnacentral:rRNA from 1 species
GAUGAACGCUGGCAGCGUGCCUAAUACAUGCAAGUCGAGCGAACAGACGAGGAGCUUGCUCCUCUAACGUUAGCGGCGGACGGGUGAGUAACACGUGGAUAACCUACCUAUAAGACUGGGAUAACUUCGGGAAACCGGAGCUAAUACCGGAUAAUAUAUUGAACCGCAUGGUUCAAUAGUGAAAGACGGUUUUGCUGUCACUUAUAGAUGGAUCCGCGCCGCAUUAGCUAGUUGGUAAGGUAACAGCUUACCAAGGCAACGAUGCGUAGCCGACCUGAGAGGGUGAUCGGCCACACUGGAACUGAGACACGGUCCAGACUCCUACGGGAGGCAGCAGUAGGGAAUCUUCCGCAAUGGGCGAAAGCCUGACGGAGCAACGCCGCGUGAGUGAUGAAGGUCUUCGGAUCGUAAAACUCUGUUAUUAGGGAAGAACAAAUGUGUAAGUAACUAUGCACGUCUUGACGGUACCUAAUCAGAAAGCCACGGCUAACUACGUG